UACUGCUCUGGUUCCUCUUCCUAACCUCCAGAGUCUGGCGUCUGUGCAGUCUGGUGUGGCUGGUGUGCCUCCCGAGGCUUUUUGGUGCGUUAGGCCUGCUGUAAGCACUGCGUGCGUAAUUGGUGUUAUACCUGCCGGUUUCCUCGCUCUGCAGUGUGGCUGUCUCUCUCUCCCUUGGCGUCUUGAGUGCAGACCGCAGUUACGGUCUCCUGCUUCAAGUUUGUUACGCCACUCGGUGUUGAGUUGGUAGAGUGCGCAACGGCCGUGCGUCCUCCCCUCCUUUCCGCUCCACUGUUGGAAACCGCCCUCUGCCCGGUGGAGCAGCGGGGUGCAAGCCGGAGGCAGGCGGACCUCUUGGUGGUGGUGUCCUCCCUCACUCACCCCCCCUUUUGCACUUUUGUGGAUUCUCGUCUCUGCCAGGGUUUAGUUGAACCUGAGUGUCUUAUUCUUGUGUCCCUUGGAGGGGUUAAGUUCAAUAAUUUCCGGGGGGUGAAACUCCCCCAGGUGGCGUUGUCGACAAUCUUCUCUAUAUUACUUCGCCUAAGUUUCGCCACAUUAGCACAACUGAAAUGUGGUCCUGAACAUGCAACUCCACAACCAUAUUUGUAUUUGUAUUAUAUCUCUUCUAUAUAGCCUAUAUCCUUCGACAGCUAGCUCAGAAUUAUCAAAAGUAUUGUCCAGGUGUGUUUCUGACUAUGCUAAAACAUGAAUAUUGUCAGAGAAGCAGAUUCCGGUAAUCUCAUGAACCUUGUUCCUAAGGCUGCAUAUAUUUAAGUGAACUAAAACCAAACCCUUCCUUGACAAACUUGAUAGCAAAUAUGUAUUGCUGUUAAUUGAGCACAAAACAAAUAAGAACUGUAUGAAAAAAAUAAAAUAAGCAAAAUUCAAAUAUCAAAUGCUGAAACAUCAAUAGCUUUAAACUGAUGAUUGUGUUUGUCCACCCCUGGGCCUGAUAACCAGUUUGUCAAACUUCAAGCUGGCUUUGUCACCCCUUUCUCUGGCAGCUUUCAACUUGGGCAGCAGCUCUUUCCUCCUCCGUUGCACAGCCUCUGAGAAGACUGAAUUUAUGUAGAUGUUUGUGCCCUUUAAUUUAAUUUUCUUGGUAGAAGAAAGGAUACACUGUCUUUAAAGCGUAAAAGCUUUACAACAGUUUUCCUGGGCUUACCCCCCUUCUGGUACUGGCCAAUUCUCUGAGCACGCUCAAUAUCAAUAUUUGUGCCAUUUAGUCCCAGGUUGCUAGAGAGCAUUUGACGAACCUCUUCUCUGAGUCACUCCAGGUUUCUCCUUUCUCAUCAGCAAUCCAUCAAUUAAAAUGUUUGU